rnacentral:rRNA from 1 species
GACGGAAGGUGCAAGCGUUGCUCGGAAUCACUGGGCGUAAAGGGUGCGUAGGCGGCCGUGCAAGUCUGGCGUGAAAGCCCCGGGCUCAGCCCGGGAAGUGCGCUCGAAACUGCGCGGCUCGAGUGCCGGAGGGGAGAGUGGAAUUCCUGGUGUAGCGGUGAAAUGCGUAGAUAUCUGGAGGAAUACCGGUGGCGAAGGCGGCAUCCUGGACCGGCAUUGACGCUGAACAGCGAAAGCUAGGGGAGCAAACGGG